rnacentral:rRNA from 1 species
AUGGCGCGCCUCGCCACCAUCCUCAGCUUCGGGGAACACGCCGAGGAGGGCUCCGACGCCUUCCCGGAGCCGCAGGGGGACUACCAGCAAGAACACGACGACGACGACGACAACGCGGCAUCGGACGCCAGCGACGACAACUUCGAGUUCGCGUUCACGCAGCCGCUGGUGCCGGCGGGCGGGGAAGCGCUGGCUGACGACCUCUUCACGCACGGCCGCUGCCUCCCGGCCUACCCGGUCUUCCACCGCCGCCAGUCCCACGACGAUGACGCCUCGGCCUCGGCCACCUCCGCGACGGCGCCACCCUCGCCGGACACGUACUACGCGUGGGAGACGCGGUCCGCGCCGGGGUCGCCCGCGCGCGAGCCAUCCGCCUUCCCCAAGAGCGCGUCCACGGGCACGGGCGAGGUCGCACGCCGGUUCUGCCUGCGCGACAUCCUCGGCUCCGGCGGCCGCUCCCACAGCAACGGCAAGGAGAAGUUCCUCUUCCUCCAGCCGACCCCCGCCAAGCCCAAGCCCAGGAUCAGCGCAUUAUGCGCCGCCGCCGGAGGAGACAAGCGCGCCGCCAAGAAAACACAGGCGCAGCCGCAGCAGAAGCAGAGCAAGGGGGCGACCGCCGCUCCGACGAAGAUGGACAUGGCCACCGCGCACAGGCUCUUCUACAACAAGUCCGGACUUGUGGCCGGCCUCGGCGGCGAGAGGACGGCCAACACAAAAACGUCGUACCUGCCCUAUCGGCGUCGUACCUGCACAUGCUCUUAUAUUAUUUUAUACUUGUUAUAA